AUUGAACGCUGGCGGCAGGCCUAACACAUGCAAGUCGAACGAGUGGCGGACGGGUGAGUAAUGUCUGGGAAACUGCCUGAUGGAGGGGGAUAACUACUGGAAACGGUCGCUAAUACCGCAUACCAUCAGAUGUGCCCAGAUGGGAUUAGCUAGUUGGGGGGGUAACGGCUCACCAAGGCGACGAUCCCUAGCUGGUCUGAGAGGAAAACCAGCCAAACUGGAACUAUGACACAGUCCAGACUCCUACGGGAGGAAGCAGUGGAGAAGAUUGCACAAUGGGCGAAAGCCUGAUGCAGCCAUGCCGCGUGUAUGAAGAAGGCCUUGGGGUUGUAAAGUACGUUCAGCGGGGAGGCGUUACCCGCAGAAGAAGCACCGGCUAACUCCGUGCCAGCAGCCGCGGUAAUAC
rnacentral:rRNA from 1 species